rnacentral:sRNA from 1 species
UGGCCUAGGAGGCUGACAUCCUCUGUUAAUCCAUAGAACAGGCACAGCAUGGGCAGCAGCAGGGCAAGCGUCCCUCACAUGGCCUCUGUGGUUGUGACUGAGCUGUGAACUGAAGGGACUGCCUCUAGGGAUGAGAUGUGAUUUAUCCACAUGGUCCAUUCGGGGUUUCU